rnacentral:rRNA from 1 species
UACAUGUGGGGCAAGCGUUGUUCGGAAUUACUGGGCAUAAAGGGUGCGUAGGCGGCUUGUUAAGUCAGGGGUGAAAGUUUUCGGCCCAACCGGAAAAUUGCCUUUGAUACUGGCGAGCUCGAGUGCGUGAGGGGUAACCGGAACGAGCAGUGUAGCGGUGAAAUGCGUAGAUAUCGGGAGGAACACCAGUGGCGAAGGCGGCCUUCUGGACCAGUACUGACGCUCAUGCACGAAAGCGUGGGGAGCGAAACAAGG